rnacentral:ncRNA from 1 species
CCGUCACAACGGCUUCCUGGCGUGACGGCUAUGUAUUAAUGGAGCA